AGUAAAUAGAUACCCUGGUAGUCCACGCUGUAAACGAUGAGUUCUGGACGUUGGCGGGUUUACCUGCCGGUGUCGCAGCUAAACGCGUUAAGCACUCCGCCUGGGGAGUACGGCCGCAAGGUUAAAACUCAAAGGAAUUGACGGGGCCCGCACAAGCGGUGGAGCAUGUGGUUUAAUUCGACGCAACGCGCAGAACCUUACCAGCCCUUGACAUGGGCGGACGGGGUCCAGAGAUGGACUCUUUCUCGCAAGAGACCGCUACACAGGUGCUGCAUGGCUGUCGUCAGCUCGUGUCGUGAGAUGUUGGGUUAAAGUCCCGCAACGUAGCGCAACCCUCGUCUCCAGUUGCCAUCGGGUAGAGCCGGGCACUUUGGAGAAACUGCCGGUGACAAGCC
rnacentral:rRNA from 1 species